AAGUCGUAACAAGGUUUCCGUAGGUGAACCUGCGGAAGGAUCAUUAACGAGUAAACAGGGGAGUUGUAGCUGGCCGCAAGGCAUGUGCACGCUCCCUACUCAAUCCCACCUUACACCUGUGCAUCUAUUGUAGGUCGGGUGGCUUGGCUCCAUGUCAGGCUGUCCUUCCUAUGUCUACACAUACACUUUAUAGUUUCAGAAUGUAAACUGCGUAUAACGCAUCUAUAAACAACUUUCAACAACGGAUCUCUUGGCUCUC
rnacentral:misc_RNA from 2 species